GUGCUCACUUCGGCAGCACAUAUACUAAAAUUGGAAUGAUACAGAGAAAAUUAGCAUGGCCCCUGCACAAGGAUGACAUGCAAAUUCGUGAAGCAUUCCAUAUUUUU
ensembl:snRNA U6 U6 spliceosomal RNA